rnacentral:rRNA from 1 species
GCCAGACUCCUACGGGAGGCAGCAGUGGGGGAUAUUGCACAAUGGGGGAAACCCUGAUGCAGCGACGCCGCGUGAGUGAAGAAGUAUUUCGGUAUGUAAAGCUCUCUCAGCAGGGAAGAAAAAAGACGGUACCUGACUAAGAAGCCCCGGCUAACUACGUGCCAGCAGCCGCGGUAAUACGUAGGGGGCAAGCGUUAUCCGGAUUUACUGGGUGUAAAGGGAGCGUAGACGGCAAUACAAGUCGGAAGUGAAAUUCCCGGGCUCAACCUGGGAACUGCUUUGGAAACUGUAUGGCUGGAGUGCUGGAGAGGUAAGCGGAAUUCCUAGUGUAGCGGUGAAAUGCGUAGAUAUUAGGAGGAACACCAGUGGCGAAGGCGGCUUACUGGACAGUAACUGACGUUGAGGCUCGAAAGCGUGGGGAGCAAACAGGAUUAGAUACCCUCGUA